GGCUAUAAAAGCCAUUCUGAGACACUCGGUUUUCAAUAGAGCUAGGGUCUCAUAAUCCCUAGGUCGACAGUUCGAGUCUGUCUCCAGCCACCA
rnacentral:tRNA from 1 species